AUUGAACGCUGGCGGCAUGCCUUACACAUGCAAGUCGAACGGCAGCACGGGAGCAAUCCUGGUGGCGAGUGGCGAACGGGUGAGUAAUAUAUCGGAACGUGCCCAGUCGUGGGGGAUAACGUAGCGAAAGCUACGCUAAUAACGCAUACGAUCUAUGGAUGAAAGCGGGGGAUCGCAAGACCCCGCCCGAUUGGAGCGGCCAAUAUCAGAUUAGGCAGUUGGUGAGGUAAAGGCUCACCAAGCCGACGAUCUGUAGCUGGUCUGAGGGGACGACCAGCCACACUGGGACUGAGACACGGCCCAGACUCCUACGGGAGGCAGCAGUGGGGAAUUUUGGACAAUGGUCGCAAGCCUGAUCCAGCAAUGCCGCGUGCAGGAUGAAGGCCUUCGGGUUGUAAACUGCUUUUGUACGGAACGAAACGGCGAGCUCUAAUACAGUUUGCUAAUGACGGUACCGUAAGAAUAAGCACCGGCUAACUACGUGCCAGCCGCCGCCGUAA
rnacentral:rRNA from 1 species